AACAUGCCAGCCUGCAACCUGAUGCUUAGUGGGGCCAUCCACUUUUCUGGUUGUAUGGCUACACAAACACUUAGGAUGUUAAAACUGUUUGGCCUUCAAUGUUUUACUGCAAACACAUUCUUCCGCCAUCAACGCCUUUACACAAUUCCCACCAUUGUGCAGGCGUGGAAGAAUGAGCAAGCUGGCAUAGUCAGCCAGCUGAAGGAGAUGGGGGGGGGUCUAAUCCUCUCAGGUGACUGCAGGUAUAACACCUCGCUUGUAUACUUUUAUAUGUUACCGUUACGUGCCGUAGUGUGUUGGUUUUGGGCUUGUUUCGUUUUGUGUUUUAUGUUCAGGCUUGCCCCGUACCGGUGACCGCCAGCAGCAUAGGGCCAGCUUCUAUUGGUCGCCAGUGAGGGUGCCGUGUGUUGUUUGCUGAUCCUUGCCAAAUCUUUGCAUGUGUCCCGUCUUCGCGUGUGGAGAUCGCCUUCAGUUUAUUUUUGUGGUUCCGAGUAGCUAAGUAACAGUAUCCAUUGCAGUGUUUUUUGGCUUAAAUGUUUUAAUUAAUUAAGCUAUUCAUGACAAUCAUAGGUCAGACUCUCCUGGUCAUUGUGCCAAGUAUGGGACCUACACCGUGAUUGAGGACCGCAUCAACAGGGUUUUGGAUCUUCAACUUGUCCAAAGCUCAGAGGUACCAAGCAGCAACUGGUGUGAGCUGGAGGGUUUGAAGCAAACCAUAGCAUUUCUCAAGGAGCAACACUUGCAAGUUUCAGCCCUUAUUACCGACAGAAAUCGCCAGGUUGCCAAGUGGGUGCGGGAGGAGUUGUGCCCUGAAGGAACAAGUCACUUCUUUGACAUCUGGCAUGUUGGUAAAAGCAUAGGAAAAGCGCUAGAUGCUGCUGCAAAGGAGAGGGGUUGUGAGGACCUUAAGCUGUGGAGGCCAUCGAUUGUCAACCACCUAUACUGGACUGCAGCUUCCACACCUAAUGGGGAUCCAAAUGUAAUGGAGGCCAAGUGGCAAAGCAUGGUGAACCAUGUUCAGGACAUCCAUGAACAUGACAGUCCUGGAUUUCCCUCCUGUGCACAUCUCCCUUUGGAGGGAGAAGUAAGGAACAAGCAGUGGC